rnacentral:rRNA from 1 species
AUGAACGCUAGCUACAGGCUUAACACAUGCAAGUCGAGGGGAAACGACAUCGAAAGCUUGCUUUUGAUGGGCGUCGACCGGCGCACGGGUGAGUAACGCGUAUCCAACCUGCCCAUCACUUGGGAAUAACCUUGCGAAAGUAAGACUAAUACCCAAUGAUAUCCCACGAAGGCAUCCGAAUGGGAUUAAAGAUUUAUCGGUGAUGGAUGGGGAUGCGUCUGAUUAGCUUGUUGGCGGGGUAACGGCCCACCAAGGCAACGAUCAGUAGGGGUUCUGAGAGGAAGGUCCCCCACAUUGGAACUGAGACACGGUCCAAACUCCUACGGGAGGCAGCAGUGAGGAAUAUUGGUCAAUGGGCGAGAGCCUGAACCAGCCAAGUAGCGUGCAGGAUGACGGCCCUAUGGGUUGUAAACUGCUUUUAUAAGGGAAUAAAGUGAGUCUCGUGAGACUUUUUGCAUGUACCUUAUGAAUAAGGACCGGCUAAUUCCGUGCCAGCAGCCGCGGUAAUACGGAAGGUCCGGGCGUUAUCCGGAUUUAUUGGGUUUAAAGGGAGCGUAGGCCGGAGAUUAAGCGUGUUGUGAAAUGUAGAGGCUCAACCUCUGCACUGCAGCGCGAACUGGUCUUCUUGAGUACGCACAACGUGGGCGGAAUUCGUGGUGUAGCGGUGAAAUGCUUAGAUAUCACGAAGAACUCCGAUUGCGAAGGCAGCUCACGGGAGCGCAACUGACGCUGAAGCUCGAAAGUGCGGGUAUCGAACAGGAUUAGAUACCCUGGUAGUCCAUGCCGUAAACGAUGAUUACUAGGUGUGGGGGGUCUGACCCCCUCCGUGCCGCAGUUAACACAAUAAGUAAUCCACCUGGGGAGUACGGCCGCAAGGUUGAAACUCAAAGGAAUUGACGGGGGCCCGCACAAGCGGUGGAGUAUGUGGUUUAAUUCGACGCAACGCGAAGAACCUUACCAGGUCUUGACAUCCCCUGCAAAGACAUAGAGAUAUGUUGGAGGUUAUCAGGGAGACAGGUGGUGCAUGGUUGUCGUCAGCUCGUGCCGUGAGGUGUCGGCUUAAGUGCCAUAACGAGCGCAACCCCUCUCCUUAGUUGCCAUCAGUUUAAGCUGGGCACUCUGGGGACACUGCCACCGUAAGGUGUGAGGAAGGUGGGGAUGACGUCAAAUCAGCACGGCCCUUACGUCCGGGGCUACACACGUGUUACAAUGGCAGGUACAGAGAGAUGGUCCUUUGCAAAACGGAUCAAAUCCUUAAAGCCUGUCUCAGUUCGGACUGGGGUCUGCAACCCGACCCCACGAAGCUGGAUUCGCUAGUAAUCGCGCAUCAGCCAUGGCGCGGUGAAUACGUUCCCGGGCCUUGUACACACCGCCCGUCAAGCCAAGAAAGCCGGGGGCGCCUGAAGUCCGUGACCGUAAGGAGCGGCCUAGGGCGAAACUGGUAAUUGGGGCU